UUUUACACUAGCAGGCAAGCCGUUUUGGGGCGGGGGAAGGGAACGCCCCAUCGGGACCCCCAUAUGGAGAUGUAAACAGCAGGGAACCUCGUGUCCGCCGGAGAGGAGGAUGCGAGGGAGGGACAGGUACCGAGGGAGGGACAGGUGCCGGUAGGAAGUGAGGCUUAAGACCAAACCAUGAGGGCUGGGCCCCACGCUUACGUAUGGGAAGCAGUGUCUUGAAGCUUGAAGGGACAUGACCACAUCUGUAUUUUAGGGUACAACCUCUGAGGAAAAAGUGUCUCCUGGGUUGGCGGUGGAAGAGAUUGGAGCCUGGGGAGACCGGCUGGAGGGCCUGGGACAGUCCAGAGUGGGAUGAUGAGGGUGGGGCAGGCUCAGAGAGAAGCAGAAAGGAGAUGUGACAGCAGGCAGGAACGCAAGAGUGGCUGGGAACCGUUCGUUCCCCAGGUGUGCAACUGUGGACAUUGCCUGGCCAGUUCUGGAGACUGGACGUCCAAGAUCACGGAGCCAGCAGGACUGGAUUCCUCUGAGGGCUGUGAGGGAAGGACCUGCUCCUGGGCUGGCAGAUGGCCGUCUUCUCCCGCCGUCUUCAUGUGACCCUCCUUCUGUGUGUCUGUGUCCAGAUGUCCUCUUCUUAUGGGGACAACCCUCACAGAGUAUUCUAUUUCAUCUGUGUGGUACAACUGAAAAGGAACAGCUCGUGGGGUAUGUGGCAUUACUCAACCUGAGUUCAUCACAUGAGCACCUAUAGUAGUCAGACCUGCUCAGCAGAAGAGCCAAGGCCCUAGUCCCAAUAAAAUGCAUUCUUAAA